UAUGUAGGGUGCAAGCGUUGUCCGGAAUUAUUGGGCGUAAAGAGCUCGUAGGCGGUCUGUUGCGUCGGCUGUGAAAACCCGGGGCUCAACUCCGGGCCUGCAGCCGAUACGGGCAGACUAGAGUUCGGCAGGGGAGACUGGAAUUCCUGGUGUAGCGGUGAAAUGCGCAGAUAUCAGGAGGAACACCGGUGGCGAAGGCGGGUCUCUGGGCCGAUACUGACGCUGAGGAGCGAAAGCGUGGGGAGCGAACAGG
rnacentral:rRNA from 1 species